CUACGGGGCGCUGCAGUGAGGAAUAUCGCACAAUGGGGGGAACCCUGAUGCAGCAACGCCGCGUGGAGGAUGACGCAUUUCGGUGUGUAAACUCCUUUUAUAUGUCAAGAAAAUGACGGUAGCAUAUGAAUAAGCACCGGCUAACUCCGUGCCAGCAGCCGCGGUAAUACGGAGGGUGCAAGCGUUAUUCGGAAUCACUGGGCGUAAAGGACGCGUAGGCGGGUUAUCAAGUCAGGUGUGAAAUCCUACAGCUUAACUGUAGAACUGCACUUGAAACUUCUAAUCUAGGGUAUGGGAGGGGGAGAUGGAAUUAGUGGUGUAGGGGUAAAAUCCGUAGAUAUCACUAGGAAUACCUAAAGCGAAGGCGAUCUCCUGGAACAUUACUGACGCUAAGGCGUGAAAGCGUGGGGAGCAAACAGGAUUAGAUACCCGCGUAGUC
rnacentral:rRNA from 1 species